rfam:Gossypium hirsutum cultivar TM-1 chromosome 11, whole genome shotgun sequence
AUUCUGUGAUGAGGGCAUUUUUGUAGUAAUUCUUUGUACCUUUCCCAUGCCUCAUACAAGGACUUGUCAUCCAUUUGUUGGAAACUAGUGAUCUUGUUCCUCAACUU